AUGAACGCUGGCGGCGUGCCUAAUACAUGCAAGUCGAGCGAACAGACGAGGAGCUUGCUCCUCUGACGUUAGCGGCGGACGGGUGAGUAACACGUGGAUAACCUACCUAUAAGACUGGGAUAACUUCGGGAAACCGGAGCUAAUACCGGAUAAUAUAUUGAACCGCAUGGUUCAAUAGUGAAAGACGGUUUUGCUGUCACUUAUAGAUGGAUCCGCGCCGCAUUAGCUAGUUGGUAAGGUAACGGCAUACCAAGGCAACGAUGCGUAGCCGACCUGAGAGGGUGAUCGGCCACACUGGAACUGAGACACGGUCCAGACUCCUACGGGAGGCAGCAGUAGGGAAUCUUCCGCAAAGGGCGAAAGCUUGACGGAGCAACGCCGCGUGAGUGAUGAAGGUCUUCGGAUCGUAAAACUCUGUUAUUAGGGAAGAACAAAUGUGUAAGUAACUAUGCACGUCUUGACGGUACCUAAUCAGAAAGCCACGGCUAACUACGUG
rnacentral:rRNA from 1 species